UACAGAGGUCCCAAGCGUUGUUCGGAUUCACUGGGCGUAAAGGGUGCGUAGGUGGUUGGGUAAGUCUGAUGUGAAAUCUCCGGGCUCAACCCGGAAAUGGCAUUGGAUACUAUUCGGCUAGAGGUUUGGAGGGGGACUGGAAUUCUCGGUGUAGCAGUGAAAUGCGUAGAUAUCGAGAGGAACACCAGUGGCGAAGGCGAGUCCCUGGACAACACCUGACACUGAGGCACGAAAGCUAGGGAGCAAACAGG
rnacentral:rRNA from 1 species